AUGGGAAAUCUGCUGCUGAGCAUACCACACAGCUGUGAAGAAGUGGGUACCGAAGACCAGAGAGGAUGGUGUUACCCUCAUAUAGGUGAACACUGGAGGAUGUCACCUAUUGCAGAAAAACCCACUACACUGCCGGCCCUUAGAGAAGAAAUUGAAAAUGCAUAUGCAGCAAUCAAUGACCAAGGUUACCCAAGCAGCAGUUCACUGUACUAAUAAAUGUCUGGAAGCUCAUGGCCACCACUUUGAGCACCUCUUGUAAUUGUAGAGGUGCAAAGUAA
rnacentral:lncRNA from 1 species